CCUACGUGUGGCAGCAGUGAGGAAUAUUGGUCAAUGGGAGAGAUCCUGAACCAGCCAAGCCGCGUGAGGGAAGACGGCCCUAUGGGUUGUAACCCUCUUUUGGCGGAGAACAAAACCCGGGACGUGUCCCGAACUGCGUGUAUCCAAAGAAGAAGCAUCGGCUAACUCCGUGCCAGCAGCCGCGGUAAUACGGGGGAUGCGAGCGUGAUCCGGAUUUGUUGGGGUUAAAGGGUGCGUAGGCGGUCCGUUAAGUCAGCGGUAAAAUUGCGGGGCUCAACCCCGUUGAGCCGUUGAAACUGGGAGACUUGAGUUGGCGAGAAGUACGCGGAAUGCGGGGUGUAGCGGUGAAAUGCAUAGAUAGCGCGAAGAACGCCGAUUGCGAAGGCAGCGUACUGGCGCCAGACUGACGCUGAGGCACGAAAGCGUGGGGAUCGAACAGGAUUAGAUACCCGGGUAGUC
rnacentral:rRNA from 1 species